rnacentral:rRNA from 1 species
GAUGAACGCUAGCGAUAGGCUUAACACAUGCAAGUCGAGGGGCAGCACAAGGUAGCUUGCUAUCUGGGUGGCGACCGGCGCACGGGUGCGUAACGCGUAUGCAACUUGCCCUAUACAGGAGGAUAACCCGUCGAAAGACGGACUAAUACUGCGUAUGCUCACAACUUGGCAUCAAGUGGUGAGGAAAGAAAUUCGGUAUAGGAUAGGCAUGCGCCCCAUUAGCUUGUUGGUGAGGUAACGGCUCACCAAGGCAACGAUGGGUAGGGGAACUGAGAGGUUUAUCCCCCACACUGGUACUGAGACACGGACCAGACUCCUACGGGAGGCAGCAGUGAGGAAUAUUGGUCAAUGUGCGCGAGCCUGAACCAGCCAAGUCGCGUGAAGGAUGACUGUCUUAUGGAUUGUAAACUUCUUUUAUACGGGAAUAACAAGAGUCACGUGUGACUCCCUGCAUGUACCGUAUGAAUAAGCAUCGGCUAACUCCGUG